AUGAACGCUAGCUACAGGCUUAACACAUGCAAGUCGAGGGGCAUCAGGAAGAAAGCUUGCUUUCUUUGCUGGCGACCGGCGCACGGGUGAGUAACACGUAUCCAACCUGCCCUUUACUCGGGGAUAGCCUUUCGAAAGAAAGAUUAAUACCCGAUAGCAUAAUGAUUCCGCAUGGUUUCAUUAUUAAAGGAUUCCGGUAAAGGAUGGGGAUGCGUUCCAUUAGGUUGUUGGUGAGGUAACGGCCCACCAAGCCUUCGAUGGAUAGGGGUUCUGAGAGGAAGGUCCCCCACAUUGGAACUGAGACACGGUCCAAACUCCUACGGGAGGCAGCAGUGAGGAAUAUUGGUCAAUGGGCGCUAGCCUGAACCAGCCAAGUAGCGUGAAGGAUGAAGGCUCUAUGGGUCGUAAACUUCUUUUAUAUAAGAAUAAAGUGCAGUAUGUAUACUGUUUUGUAUGUAUUAUAUGAAUAAGGAUCGGCUAACUCCGUGCCAGCAGCCGCGGUAAUACGGAGGAUCCGAGCGUUAUCCGGAUUUAUUGGGUUUAAAGGGAGCGUAGGUGGACUGGUAAGUCAGUUGUGAAAGUUUGCGGCUCAACCGUAAAAUUGCAGUUGAUACUGUCAGUCUUGAGUACAGUAGAGGUGGGCGGAAUUCGUGGUGUAGCGGUGAAAUGCUUAGAUAUCACGAAGAACUCCGAUUGCGAAGGCAGCUCACUGGACUGCAACUGACACUGAUGCUCGAAAGUGUGGGUAUCAAACAGGAUUAGAUACCCUGGUAGUCCACACAGUAAACGAUGAAUACUCGCUGUUUGCGAUAUACAGUAAGCGGCCAAGCGAAAGCAUUAAGUAUUCCACCUGGGGAGUACGCCGGCAACGGUGAAACUCAAAGGAAUUGACGGGGGCCCGCACAAGCGGAGGAACAUGUGGUUUAAUUCGAUGAUACGCGAGGAACCUUACCCGGGCUUAAAUUGCAGUGGAAUGAUGUGGAAACAUGUCAGUGAGCAAUCACCGCUGUGAAGGUGCUGCAUGGUUGUCGUCAGCUCGUGCCGUGAGGUGUCGGCUUAAGUGCCAUAACGAGCGCAACCCUUAUCUUCAGUUACUAACAGGUCAUGCUGAGGACUCUGGAGAGACUGCCGUCGUAAGAUGUGAGGAAGGUGGGGAUGACGUCAAAUCAGCACGGCCCUUACGUCCGGGGCUACACACGUGUUACAAUGGGGGGUACAGAAGGCAGCUAGCGGGUGACCGUAUGCUAAUCCCAAAAGCCUCUCUCAGUUCGGAUCGAAGUCUGCAACCCGACUUCGUGAAGCUGGAUUCGCUAGUAAUCGCGCAUCAGCCACGGCGCGGUGAAUACGUUCCCGGGCCUUGUACACACCGCCCGUCAAGCCAUGGGAGCCGGGGGUACCUGAAGUACGUAACCGCAAGGAUCGUCCUAGGGUAAAACUGGUGACUGGGGCU
rnacentral:rRNA from 1 species